GAUGAACGCUGGCGGCGUGCCUAAUACAUGCAAGUCGAGCGAACGGACGAGAAGCUUGCUUCUCUGAUGUUAGCGGCGGACGGGUGAGUAACACGUGGAUAACCUACCUAUAAGACUGGGAUAACUUCGGGAAACCGUAGCUAAUACCGGAUAAUAUUUUGAACCGCAUGGUUCAAAAGUGAAAGACGGUCUUGCUGUCACUUAUAGAUGGAUCCGCGCUGCAUUAGCUAGUUGGUAAGGUAACGGCUUACCAAGGCAACGAUGCAUAGCCGACCUGAGAGGGUGAUCGGCCACACUGGAACUGGGACACGGUCAAGACUACUACGGGAGGCAGCAGUAGGGAAUCUUACGCAAUGGGCGAAAGCAUGACGGAGCAACGCCGCGUGAGUGAUGAAGGUCUUCGGAUCGUAAAACUCUGUUAUUAGGGAAGAACAGAUGUGGACGUAACUGUGCACAGCUUGACGGUACCUAAUAAGAAAGCCACGGCUAACUACGUG
rnacentral:rRNA from 1 species